GUGACCUCAAAUCAGGUAGGACUACCCGCUGAACUUAAGCAUAUCAAUAAGCGGAGGAAAAGAAACUAACAAGGAUUCCCCUAGUAACUGCGAGUGAAGCGGGAAAAGCUCAAAUUUAAAAUCUGGCAGUCUUACUGUCCGAGUUGUAAUCUAGAGAAGCAUUAUCCGCGUUGGACCGUGUACAAGUCUCCUGGAAUGGAGCGUCAUAGAGGGUGAGAAUCCCGUCUUUGACACGGACUGCCAAGGCUUUUGUGAUGUGCUCUCAAAGAGUCGAGUUGUUUGGGAAUGCAGCUCAAAAUGGGUGGUAAAUUCCAUCUAAAGCUAAAUAUUGGCGAGAGACCGAUAGCGAACAAGUACCGUGAGGGAAAGAUGAAAAGAACUUUGGAAAGAGAGUUAAACAGUACGUGAAAUUGCUGAAAGGGAAACGCUUGAAGUCAGUCGCGUUGAUCAGAGAUCAACCUUGCUUUUGCUUGGUGUACUUUCUGGUUUGACGGGUCAGCAUCAAUUUUGAUCAUUGGAAAAAGGUCAAGGGAAUGUGGCAUCUUCGGAUGUGUUUAUAGCCCUUGGUUGUAUGCAAUGGUUGGGAUUGAGGAACUCAGCACGCCGCAAGGCCGGGUUUAACC
rnacentral:rRNA from 2 species